AUUGAACGCUGGCGGCAUGCCUUACACAUGCAAGUCGAACGGCAGCACGGGUGCUUGCACCUGGUGGCGAGUGGCGAACGGGUGAGUAAUACAUCGGAACAUGUCCUGUAGUGGGGGAUAGCCCGGCGAAAGCCGGAUUAAUACCGCAUACGAUCUACGGAUGAAAGCGGGGGACCUUCGGGCCUCGCGCUAUAGGGUUGGCCGAAGGCUGAUUAGCUAGUUGGUGGGGUAAAGGCCUACCAAGGCGACGAUCAGUAGCUGGUCUGAGAGGACGACCAGCCACACUGGGACUGAGACACGGCCCAGACUCCUACGGGAGGCAGCAGUGGGGAAUUUUGGACAAUGGGCGAAAGCCUGAUCCAGCAAUGCCGCGUGUGUGAAGAAGGCCUUCGGGUUGUAAAGCACUUUUGUCCGGAAAGAAAUCCUUGGCCCUAAUACGGUCGGGGGAUGACGGUACCGGAAGAAUAAGCACCGGCUAACUACGUG
rnacentral:rRNA from 1 species